GACGAACGCUGGCGGCGUGCCUAACACAUGCAAGUCGAGCGGAGGUACAAUGAGAGCAAUCGAGAUGUACUUUAGCGGCGGACGGGUGAGUAACGCGUGAGCAACCUGCCUAUCACAGGGGGAUAACAGCUGGAAACGGCUGCUAAUACCGCAUAAACUUUUUAAGACACAUGUUUUAGAAAGGAAAGGUGGCGCAAGCUAUCGCUUAUGGAUGGGCCCGCGUCUGAUUAGCUAGUUGGUGGGGUAACAGCCUACCAAGGCAACGAUCUGUAGCUGGUCUGAGAGGACGACCAGCCACACUGGAACUGAGACACGGUCCAGACUCCUACGGGAGGCAGCAGUGGGGAAUUUUGGACAAUGGGCGCAAGCCUGAUCCAGCAAUGCCGCGUGCAGGAUGAAGGCCUUCGGUUGUAACUGCUUUGUACGGAACGAAAGACUUCGGCUAAUACCUCGAAGUCAUGACGGUACCGUAAGAAUAAGCACCGGCUAACUACG
rnacentral:rRNA from 1 species